rnacentral:lncRNA from 1 species
CUAACAGCUCAAUAGUUUAGAUCUCUUAAGCCACAGUAGUGGAAGUGGUGUAUUUUUUCCAGUUUUUUCCAUUCUUUGACUAAUAAGAAGGAUGCUAAUGUAUAGUAUAUACUAAAUAUCAAAGAGGACUGUGCAUGAGUUAUAUAUGUCAGACAAAGAGGGAAAAGAACUCCAGAGACACAGCUUGGAGCAACCUCUGUUUCCUCUUGUUUCCCAAGACAGUCCUAACUUCAAAUGAGUCCUCCUGCCUUGGUAAGAUCCUGAUUUGGGAUUUCACUUGAUUUGGGAAAUAUGGUAAAUGUAGCAAAAUGGGUAGGAAUAAAGGAGGGCCUGUGAGGCCCUGCCGUGUUAUGGUGCAAGGUUUGUGAUAAGGAGCAAUAAGAAUUGACAUUAGAAACUAAGCCUAUAAGGACAUACUAUAGAAGGUUUUGUAUGUAAUAUAAGAAGUUCGGACUUUUUGCUCCAUGCAGAGAAGCCAUCGAAUUUUUCAACAAGAGAAGACUUGUGAUCAUUUUUCGUUUCAAAAGAUAAUAAUUCUAGUACCAAGAUAGAGACUAUAUUGUCUUUAGGUUUUCAAGAAAGAGAUUGAACUUGGAAGUAUAAAUUUAUCUGUUGUUAACUUAUACCUAAUAAUUAAAGCCAUGGAUGAUGGGAACCAAGGAAAGCAAGAAGAUAAGCAGGAAAAAAGGAAAGAAUCUUCAGCAGUAUAUGUUGACUGGAGAUAAGUGAAGGAAAUACAGGCAAACAGGACUGUGAAGGAGUGAGUAGAAAGAGGAGGAACCAGGAAAGUGUGUUUAAGAGCCAGUCGAAGAGCACAUUUUAAGAUAGAGAAGUUGGUAGAGGAGCCACAUGCUCCCCAGGAGUCAAGUAGGAUGAAAAUUGAAAAAGUGCUAGUGGACUUGGCAAUCAGAAGGUCAUUUGAACCUCAGUGCUCUUUGAGUUCACUUCAUAAGGUCUUAUUUGUUAAAGAAAGAGUCUUGUUAGUACUGGGGUAAGAAAUUUUCGGAGGGUGGGGCGAAGAGAGGAAAUCUAAUCUAAUUUUUUCUUUGGAGGGGAAAAAAGUUGAGAUUACAGGAAAGAGAAACUAAUCUUACAGCCCUAAAGGAAGUCCACACCAUAGAAUUAUAAAACUAUUACUGGUCAUUUAUAUUGUGCCACCAUAGGCCAGGACUCCCCCUAAACUGUUUCAGAGGGGUGAAUAUUUUUUUUAAUAUAAUUUUUUAUUUUUAUAAACAUAUAUUUUUAUCCCCAGGGGUACAGGUCUGUGAAUCGCCA